CAUACAGGCUGCUUUGUAUGAGCUCUGCUGGCAAGUGGUAGAGGGCAACCUGAAGUUUGAUCUCAUUGCUAGCGUCCUUGGGGAUGUGAUGGAACUUCGAGAAGACAUGCCAUCAAUUUUAGCAGAUGUGGUCAGCAUUUUAGAUAUAGAGACAGGUGCUCUGGAAGAAAAAAAACAAACGUGAACAUUAUACACAGUUGGUGGGAGGUUGUUUGUUUCUUGUUCCAGAAGCCAUUCUAAAAGAGAGGCUUGAUCCAGAA